rnacentral:lncRNA from 1 species
AAAAUAUUUUGUAAUACCCAUCUCUGACAUUAGGUAGGCAAAUCACACAGAAACACCGAGGUCUUCUGAGUCAUAUUUAUCUGAAAAAUCACAGCUUGGGUGCAUGUGAAGCCAGAGGAGCACUCCUGGGGCCUGCGGUGCCAUCGCUCAACUCCCCUGGGCUUCACAUGGCCAUGGAGCACCCAGCAAGUGCAGGCUCUGAGCCUUCAGGGAGGGGCGGCAUCAGCCAGCACCAUCGUCUCCUGGGUCUUGUGCCUCUUCCUUGGUUGCGGUGUCAGGGCCAGAAUUGGGCAAUUCCGGGUGACAUCCAGGUGUGGCUGCUGACACGGAGCACAGGACGCCCUGCUCCUGUGGUUUGCAGCCCCGGCCUUCUCUUCGAGGACGCCUCUGCUCUUCUGCCUCACAUUCGGAUUGGACCUUCUUCAGCACAGCCAGUGGCCAAGGCUUCCUCCCUGGGGCUCAGUGGAGCAGGACAGAUGCUGCAUCCAAACUCUUCCAUUGGGUUCCAGUCUGUUCCAGUCAUGCCCUUGAGCCUCUAAAGCUCCUAGGUAAGAGACGUAGCAGCUGACAGCACUUCCCACUUGAUUUGGGUGGACUCCAGCCUCCCCAGCAACAAUAAGAGAUCAAAGGCAUCGUCGAGGAAGCAGCUUGCUGAAACGCUGAGUGCCCGCCCCUCUCAGGUCAGGUGGGACCGGCAGGCCAGCAUGAGUUCCUGAACACUUGGUUCUCAAUACUGGCCACAGCCACACUGUAAGGGGAAACAAGAGGGCACUGUAUGCAAACAUCUCUUGAACUCUGGAGUCUGCUCACCUUCCUGCCUCAAGCCCCUCUCCCACGUGGUCCAGUCACCAUUCUCCACAGAGACUACCCUAAAACCCAGCGACUCUCGUGUGCCUGCAGAAUGGCACAACCCUUUCUCAUAGCAGCACUCCUG